AUUGAACGCUGGCGGCAGGCCUAACACAUGCAAGUCGAGCGGAUGAAGGGAGCUUGCUCCUGGAUUCAGCGGCGGACGGGUGAGUAAUGCCUAGGAAUCUGCCUGGUAGUGGGGGAUAACGUCCGGAAACGGGCGCUAAUACCGCAUACGUCCUGAGGGAGAAAGUGGGGGAUCUUCGGACCUCACGCUAUCAGAUGAGCCUAGGUCGGAUUAGCUAGUUGGUGGGGUAAAGGCCUACCAAGGCGACGAUCCGUAACUGGUCUGAGAGGAUGAUCAGUCACACUGGAACUGAGACACGGUCCAGACUCCUACGGGAGGCAGCAGUGGGGAAUAUUGGACAAUGGGCGAAAGCCUGAUCCAGCCAUGCCGCGUGUGUGAAGAAGGUCUUCGGAUUGUAAGGCACUUUAAGCUGGGAGGAAGGGCAGUAAGUUAAUACCUUGCUGUUUUGACGUUACCAACAGAAUAAGCACCGGCUAACUUCGUG
rnacentral:rRNA from 1 species